AAGUUUGUAGGAGCUGGUUUUGUGAUAGAAGAUGCUACGUUCAUUAGAAGCAUGGAGAGUUACAGUGGAUUUAGAGAAGCUGGAUCCCAGGACCCUGAGAUCACAUAUUUUUAAUGAUGGUAUUAACAAAACUUUGGAGCUUUGGUGAAAAAACAAGGAGAGCUGCCAGGCUAAAGUUCUUAAAAUAAAAUAAAAACAGCAAAUGGAGGCCUUGAUUGGCCUCUAUUCCUCCUGCUGGAAGCCUGGCACAACUGGAAGCUGGAAGAAAAACCGCAACCGAAUAGGCUGGCACUUUAACAGUCAUUUCCAACCACAGAUUAAUACUAUUACUGGAUUUGACUAACGGCUCUCAAUCAGCUCAACUGUCAUCACUGGAGAGCCUGAUAGCCAGUGAAGCCCAAAGAGAAAAUACAGGCAAAUCCAAAGCAUGAAGACUGCAGAGAAGAAACAGUGAGACAAAAUCAUUUUCAUCUGUGACUUUCUUCCUGGUGACUGUUUGGAGUUUCCCUACGAGCUGGUGCGAGGCACUGCUUCCUGUGGCUCAGAACAAGACUCCCUGAGGGCCGAUAUAUACCGGGGGACCGCACUCUGGAUUCUGCGUGAGGUUCUGCCUAGAAUCCCGGGGCACCAAGUCCGAGGCUUUCUGACUGAGUUCUUCCAACGUUCGAUGUUACUUCUGACAAGAAGCCCCCCUCAUCCUGCUCCAGAAAAAUGAUACACCCAGGUACCUGAACCACGAACACUAAGAACAGUGACUAAGUUUUACUCCGCACAUGCAAGGCAGAGCCCAAAGCUCAGUGCUUGACAGGCACGCUUUCAUUUAACUCAGAUCAACCCUAGGUGGGAAGUUGAUGUUAAUAUGCUCAUUUUACAGCUGAGGAAAUGAAGGUUGAGAGAUGAUGGUUACUAGUGAGUCACCAUCACCCAGCUAAGAAGUGGUGGACGCAGAACCCGGAUGCUCCAAAGCCGGUCCUUGUGACGGUUUCUCCGUGUCAUGCCCGUCACAGAGGACCAUGGAACUGUUAAUGGACUGGAGUCUCUGCCUGAACAAAAGUUCCAUGUUUUUUUUUUUUUCCCCUAAAAGAAAAAUGAAUGAUUGAAAACCACUCUGGUGAGCUUGAUGUUGAAAUGAAGUAAUUGUCUUCAGUUGAGAAGAGAGGGGGAUCCUGAGGACCUGUGAAUCUGGGGGCAAACCUGCCACCUAGCACUUCAGUAGGUUCCUUCUGCACAUUUGUGGAUCUGUGACGUACUCCUCCAUCUGCAGAGCGCAGGGACUACGUGGUCCCUGACCUUGUGGGGCUUGCAGUUUAGGAAGGGAGAAAGGAAAAAUAAUCAUUAUACAAGCAGUGAGUGCUGUGAAGAAAACAAGAUGCUCUGGUGACCAACAACAGAGCAGUGAGGAAUAGCCACAUAGGGAGGUGCCAUUAAAUUCGAGGAUGACACAGAAGAAGCAGGGCUGCUGAGGUCUAUUCACGUCCCUUUCAUCUUUGGUGGUAGCUGGAAUCCUCAAGUACUUUUCAAGAAUGCUUUCCUUGGGUUCUGUUAAGCAGGUCAACCACCACUUUACAAUCCAUAUGCUUUAUCACUGGUGCUUUCUCCAGACAGUUCAAGACAUCCCAGACAAGAUAUAAAUGAGGUUUUACUAUUCAGUAGAGGACUCCCUUUUUUUUUAC